ACGCUCGACACCUACGGGGAGCAGCAGUGGGGAAUAUUGCACAAGUGGGGGAAACCCUGAUGCAGCGACGCCGCGUGGAGGAAGAAGGUCUUCGGAUUGUAAACUCCUGUUGUUGGGGAAAAAGAGGAUGGUACCCAACAAGGAAGUGACGGCUAACUACGUGCCAGUAGCCGCGGUAAUCUGAGCGGGCUGGCAAGGC
rnacentral:rRNA from 1 species